UCCCAUGUAGUUGGAGAACCAAAGGCCUCAUACAUGACAAAAAGACUGAACCGUUCAGGUUACUUGCAUGGAGUUGGUGCUUAAAUGUUCCUCAACUUAAAGGGGAUGAGGAGACGUUGGAGGCGGUUCUGAGGAGACUCAAAAGAUGAUUAUAUGAUUGGAAGUCAGUCCUGUGAGGAAAGGUUGGGAGAAUGAAAGGUUAAGAGGCAACUUAAUAACUCUUCAAAAGACACGAAAGGGUCUAUCAUUAGGGAUGGUAACCAGUUCUUUUCCCACUCAGUGGAUACUAGAGUAAGAGAGAAAUAGGUUUAAACUGAAGCGAAGGGUAGAUACGUAAAGAACUCGUUACUAAUGACGUUUGUCAUUAUAGUGACGAUGAAAAAGAUAACCAGAAUAGCUUUAUGAUCUUCUGUGGAGGUGAAUUUUUAAAGUACGGUCCUGCCUGUAUACGUAUAAGAUGACCUCUCAAGCUACCUUCUCAUUCUGUGAAUCAAUAAGUGUAUUUUUAUUCAGAUCUUAGAGGAUCUGAAUAAAUAAAUAAAGCAUGGAUUAUGUUUUAGCCUUCUUAAUGUUCCCCCAGGGGUCCUGGGGCCUUACUGGCUCCCUGAGUAUUUGACUUGAAUCGUCAAUUUGUGGCAAUAAUUAACUUUCAGUAGUCAGCUCCAGAGAAAUGUCUGUAUGCAAUGAUGUUAUAGUGGUUUUAUAGGCGAAUAAGACUUCAGUAAAUGGAGCUAAGAGAGAAAUCUUAACAUCCAGAGAAACUGGGGAAAACAGUAGGUGCGGUCUCAAUAUAGGAAACAAGUGUUUGUAGCUUUUAUGUCCGUUUUCAGUUGUAGUUUCAAGAGACGUGCUGCAGAAUAGCCCUUGGUAAGGUUUCCACUGCUUGUGGACCUACUCUAACGAGUGCUUUGUAAAUCCUUUCCUGUCUAAUACAAGUUUGCUUCAUGCGAAUGAGGAUUACAAAGGCUUCUGACCCUUGGUUUUUGAGGCUGCGUGGAGGGCUUGCAUCACUCAGAAUGAAACCUUUUUAGAUAUGUUGGGUUGCAGAAAGCAUUUCCUGUACAGUCAGAGUGAAAACUGUGAAUUGGGAUUAUUCAUAUAGAUUACAAGAGUCUGGGCAGAACCGAUAUUUGCGCCAGCUCCUUUUUCUCCCAAUUCUUAGUUCCAAAAUCUUCAUUGUUUUACUGAAGCUUUAGAACUUUGAAUUUAGUCCUGGAAUUGUAUAUAAAUUCCUUCUUUUAGGUGAAGUGGUCACGAGAUUUAUUUAAGGUUAUAUACAUAUAAUGAGGUUUCUAAGUUGCAAAUAGUAAAUGCUGUCUACUCUUAACCAGACAGUCUCAGUAAAUGACUGGAGGUCAGAGAUGUAGCUGGCUUCUUGCAGGAAUUCUGCAAGGUGGCAAAGUGAGGGCGCUUUGGACUCCCUAAUUGUAAAAUCGGGUGUCACUUAAGAAGCUCUGGGAGUUGGAAAUAUAAGAGAUUCUUACUUUUUCUGGAACUUUUCAUUGCUAGUCCUACAGGUAUAAAUUCAGAAAGCGAGCGAUUAUGAACACAAAGAAUAAUUCUCAUGAUUCUUUAUUCUACUUGAGAGACUCUAGAGGUGGAGUAAUAAUAAAAAAAAAAAUACCGGGGACUUUUUUUUUUUUUUUGAAUAGGUUAAUGCCACAGAAUGUAGGCUUCUCAGAAUGUGAUGGCAAACUUCCAAAUAUGAUGUGGUAGUCAGAGGAGAGUCAGUUGGUUUUUCAAGAUACAAAGAACACGAAACUUCCCAGCUCCUAUAUUGAACAUUAAUUCCUGAAAAAUAUUAGGUCAAAAUGAUGUUGGCUGACUCGGUGGCUUUGUGGUUUUGCCAAGGAGAAUGUUGACACUUUUGACAUCUAACUUCAUGUUGCUCCUUCAGAAAACUGACUUUACCGAAUGAUAAACCCGGUUUACCUUCAGAGAGAAGGAAGUGAAAACCUCGUGUUACUGUAGUUGCUAUUGGUCAUUCAACAGUGCGUCUAUCUUCCCAGAAGGAAGGAUGCACCCUGACUUUUGUACCAAGAUAUGACCAACAAGCUGGAAGAAAAAAGCUGCAGUUUCAUGGUAGAAACUUGUAAUUGAAUGAGCGUAUAACUCAGAAUGAAGUUAAUUACUUAAAGUUGGCAUAUGGGGGACCCAAACCUCUUGGAAUAAAAAGAACCAUCUCUGAAAACAA